rnacentral:rRNA from 1 species
UGAGCUUGAUCCUGGCUCAGAACGAACGCUGGCGGCAUGCCUAACACAUGCAAGUCGAACGAGAUCUUCGGAUCUAGUGGCGCACGGGUGCGUAACGCGUGGGAAUCUGCCCUUGGGUUCGGAAUAACAGUGAGAAAUUACUGCUAAUACCGGAUGAUGUCUUCGGACCAAAGAUUUAUCGCCCAAGGAUGAGCCCGCGUAGGAUUAGGUAGUUGGUGGGGUAAUGGCCUACCAAGCCGACGAUCCUUAGCUGGUCUGAGAGGAUGAUCAGCCACACUGGGACUGAGACACGGCCCAGACUCCUACGGGAGGCAGCAGUGGGGAAUAUUGGACAAUGGGCGAAAGCCUGAUCCAGCAAUGCCGCGUGAGUGAUGAAGGCCUUAAGGGUUGUAAAGCUCUUUACCAGGGAUGAUAAUGACAG